GUCAAAGCAAAAUCUCGAGUAUCCCUACUGCAAUAAGACACUUUCACACUGCUCUAUCAACAGAGAAAUCAAGAAAAUGAUGGAUUGUGGCAAGAAAGAGGAAGCAGGUCCAUCUCAUGGCGGUGUUACUUGGGAUAAGAGGAAGGAGGAAGAAGAUGGAGAAAGUGAAGAAGAUGACCAUCAUCAAGAUCCUUCUGCUGCUGCAACAAGUUUUAUUCCUGGCCCUCUUCUUUCUCUUAAAGAUCAAAUUGAAAAGGACAAGGAGGAUGAGAGCUUGAGGAGGUGGAAAGAAAAGCUGCUUGGUUGUCUGGAAAGCGACUUAGAUGGGCAAAUGGAACCUGAAGUUAAGUUCCACUCAGUUGGAAUCCUUUCCUCCGACUUUGGGGAGAUUAAUACUCCAUUACCUAUCAAAGAAGAACAAAGCAAUUAUGUCCUCUUUACGCUCAGGGAGGGCUCUGAG
rnacentral:misc_RNA from 1 species